GCAAUCGUGUAUGCGCAUCUUUGGCGCAUACUGAUGCGCUCCAACACUCCCUGAGCGCACGCGACGACAACGGGCAGCGCUCUGUUGUGCGCAGAUUCAAUAAAGAUGGAGAAGCAAUACGUGACAUGGGAUUGCGCUGCUGAGGGAAUUCACCGUGUUCGGAGAGUUUAUACUUAUAUUGUGUGCGUCAGUGCUGAAUAAAGUCCAGCGAGGAGGAGCUAGAUGUAAGCUCCACCCAUUUGCUCUGCAGUGUGAAGCCGCCGGGGUCUCGUCAUCCGUCUGCCACCAUCCAUUCACCUCAUCCUCGUCCGCCUCCUGAGCCUCCUUCACUACUCCCUCUACGUUCUUCCAGUAGCAGUGCGACGUCAGGCCUUUUUGGGGAGGGCGCAUUGCCAUAACUGAAAAUGUCCAUUGCCAAAACUGAAACGUCUGAAGUAGUCGGUCAACCAGAAACUGAUUCGCAAUCACGACUGGAGCAGAAUCAGUUCUCUAUGAAUGUGCUGAAAUAUUGCAAGCUUCACUCCAAGUGACCACUGCACGUCGCGUUAGUGAGUUGCAUGUGUAGUCAGCAGUGUUUACGUUGGGGACCUGAGUAUAAACAGAUUAACAAAUUUCAGUCCUGUGCCCAGUUAGGGCUCUUCGGCAGUAUGUUGAAGUUACAGCAGCCUGGUGGGUCACUGAUCAACUGUUUGUGUUAUGGUGAUCACAAAAAGGGUCAUGAAGUUCCAGCUUCUGUGAAGUGCCAUUCAGUAUGUGCAGUUGCCACUUCCUGUGCAGCCCUGCGUGGUGUACAGCUAUCUGAUAUCUGUGAUGUGGCAACAUGGAAGACUCCAUCUACUUUUACCAGAUUUUACAGGUGUAUGUCUUCAGUGUGUUUUGUGAUGGUUGCAAAAGAUUCACAAAUUAAAUAAAAGCUAAUUCAACAUUGA